AACUCUGGGAAACUGGAGAUAAUACCGCAUAACAUCCAGUGACUUCGGUUGCUGGAUUGAAACCUGGAAACGGGGCUGAUGGAGGGGUCCGCGGCCGAUUAGCUAGUUGGUGAGGUAACGGCCCACCAAGGCGAGGAUCGGUAGCCGGCCUGAGAGGGCGGACGGCCACACUGGAACUGAAACACGGUCCAGACUCCUACGGGAGGCAGCAGUGGGGAAUUUUGCGCAAUGGGGGCAACCCUGACGCAGCAACGCCGCGUGGACGAUGAAGCCCCUUGGGGUGUAAAGUCCUUUCGGCAGGGACGAAUCCCGAGCAAUCGGGCGGACGGUACCUGAAGAAGAAGCCCCGGCUAACUCCGUGCCAGCAGCCGCGGUAAUACGGGGGGGGCAAGCGUUGUUCGGAAUUAUUGGGCGUAAAGGGCGUGUAGGCGGUGUGGCAAGUCUGGUGUGAAACCUCCCGGCUCAACCGGGAGCCUGCAUCAGAAACUGCUGUG
rnacentral:rRNA from 1 species